rnacentral:rRNA from 1 species
UACGUAGGCAGCAAGCGUUGUUCGGAGUUACUGGGCGUAAAGGGUGCGUAGGCGGUUGUUUAAGUUUGGUGUGAAAUCUCCCGGCCCAACUGGGAGGGUGCGCCGAAUACUGAAUGACUAGAGUGCGGGAGAGGAGAGUGGAAUUCCUGGUGUAGCGGUGAAAUGCGUAGAUAUCAGGAGGAACACCGGUGGUGUAGACGGCUCUCUGGACCGUAACUGACGCUGAGGCACGAAAGCGUGGGUAGCAAACAGG